UGGGGAAUAUUGGGCAAUGGGCGAAAGCCUGACCCAGCCAUGCCGCGUGAGUGAUGAAGGCCUUCGGGUCGUAAAGCUCUGUGGGGAGGGACGAAACAGCCUCGGGAUAAUACCCACGCGCCUUGACGGUACCUCCUUAGCAAGCACCGGCUAACUCCGUGCCAGCAGCCGCGGUAAUACGGAGGGUGCAAACGUUGCUCGGAAUCAUUGGGCGUAAAGCGCACGUAGGCGGUCCGGAAAGUCGGGUGUGAAAUCCCUCGGCUCAACCGAGGAAGUGCAUUCGAAACUUCCGGACUUGAAUAUGGAAGAGGGUCGCGGAAUUCCCGGUGUAGAGGUGAAAUUCGUAGAUAUCGGGAGGAACACCAGUGGCGAAGGCGGCGACCUGGGCCAAUAUUGACGCUGAGGUGCGAAAGCGUGGGGAGCAAACAGGAUUAGAUACCCCCGUAGUCC
rnacentral:rRNA from 1 species